UCCCCUUUUUGUUUCUCUCCUUGUCCUGCACCCUCGUUAGAUUCUGUCGAUCGCGAUCGAAGAAAGGAAAAAAUUGUCGACUUUUCCCAGGCCCAGAACCGCGGCUCAACAAGAAAAAAAGAAAAAAAAAGAAAGCUGUCAGGGGAAACGGAAAAAAAAAAGGACACUUGUGGCUUCUCAGAAAGGAGAACCCUCGUGUAUCUGGAGAUGCUACCCUAAUGCCAUCGGUCUGUGAACUGGCGACCCUUUGAAAUUAGAGAAUCUCACACACUCUCUUUCUAUUUUAAAGAAACAAACAAAACAGAAAAGAAGAGGAGGCGAAGUACUCCUGUAGAACUCGAUGAUGUUCUAUAUUUAGACCAUCUUUUGGACAUUGUCCGUCUCUUCGUUGAUCAACAGACAGAUCUUGCAGGGUAGAUCUCCAGGCCAGAUCUCAGAUCUCAGAGCAGAUCUCAGAUUACAGAUUCAACUCGCUCAUUCAUUCAUUAUCAUUAUUCAUGAUUGCUCUCGUCUGAACAGCGGAUCUGAAAACAAAACAAAAAAAAAAUUAAAAGGAACCUCGUGGCCAUCUCUGCCCUUGAAGACUUACUUGCUCCGAUCCCUCGCACCACACGGAAUCUAUGUAUCUACUUCAUGCAUCCGUAACUAUCUUCCUGUUCUGGAGAAGAUAAUUAUGGCAGCUCGUUUCUGCUGCACACAUGAAUUCUCGUUUUAUAUCUCUAAAUAUAUCUAUAUGUAUUGUUAUCUAUAUAUAUCUAUAUCUAUAUCUAUAUAUUUCCGAAUAAGAAACUCUACCA
rnacentral:sRNA from 1 species